UAGAAUAGAGACAUUUAAUGAUGAUCUUAGCUUUAACAAACAAUAAGGGAGAAAAUUUAUAGAAGAAAGGAAAAUUUUGAGUGAAAUUUUGAGAGAAUACGAGAGAUAUGGCAGCUGUGGAAAAGAGAAUACGCAAACAAAGAAAAAAGAGCAAAAUAACACUGUUUCCACGUGAUUGCAGCAGACCGUUACCGUUGCAUAACGGUAAAUAAUGGCUAUUUUCGUUGCAUAACGGUUGUAACGGCCGUUACUACGGCAAUUCCAAAUUGCUUGUAAAUAAUGGUGUAUUACGUAACGGGUCCUUUCAAAACUUAUAAAUAAUGGCCAUUACGUAGGCAGUGUUGUUAAGGGCGCCAGAGGCGAGGCUACCCUCUAGUGCCUCGCCUGGCUUUGAAGAGGCGGCCGCCCCAGCAAUGAAGGCAAGCGUCAUUGAGGCAUUGAGGCGGCGCUUUUUAAAAGGAGCGG
rnacentral:misc_RNA from 1 species